AAAAGAUGGCCCUCAGUCAGAACAGUGGACGACCCAUUGCUGAGGGCAUCUCUGGGGGGAGUUCAUCGGACCCACCCACGCCCCAGGUCACAGGGGCCUACAUAAGAGUUACUGAUGGUGUAAUCUGUCUCGUUGAGCCUUCUGCCAUAACAGACCUCCAUGCUGUUGAGGAUGAUGAAGAAACCUUAUCAGCUGCCACAGAGAGGGAAGAUGCAGAGAGGCCUGCUGAAAGCCAUGCUGGAAAUUACAAUGGGGAAGAAGGUCCAUCAACCUCCACAGCACAGCUUACCUCAGUAAGAUGUUGUUCAGCAUUGACCCACAACUUACAAUGACACUAAAUAGACA